AUGGCAACAGCAAUCGGUCCAUGCUCUGAUGCAGAGGACCUGUUGGCUUCCAUCCACCUCGAGAGGUAUCUGGACCACUUCCGUCAGGCAGGCUUUCUCCUCGCCCGAGACUUCUGUCAUGUGGACAGUGUGGCUCUGAACAGGGUGGGAGUCACUGCCACCGGCCACAGGAAGCGUAUCCUCAAACUAGUCGAGCACAUUCAGCUGAUCUGUCAACAGCCCUCGCUAGAUCGCUGCAAUUCAGACUCUGCUAUUCAUGAGGUGACCCCUGUCAAAGCGCACACCAGUGUUGUAAAGCCGGUACCAAAACCAAGAACUGUCUUUCACAGACUGAGAGCAGAGAAAAUUUCUUUACCAACGCAACAUGAAGCGCAACCUCGCCAAAAGUCAUCUCAGGACUCACUUUUAAAAGUUGCACAAGGUUCAUCCUCCAGUACAGACACUGUCGAAUCAUCUACUGAAUCAAAAAAGGGCCAUUGUGAACCAGGUUUGAGUAAAAGUGAUCCGUUACCCCCAGUGCCCCCUAGGUUAAAUCGAGGAACUCCCCCAUCCACAUUCAGGAGAAUGUCGGAGCAGGAGCAGCACAAUCACUCUUCGCUCAAGCGUCUUGAUUCUCCAGGUUACUGCACUGUGGGUGAACCGUCCCCGGCCCGUCACUCAUUCUCCCUCCCUCACAACUUUGUCUCCAAUGAAACGGAUGAGGACAUCAUCUCUCCCUACGCCAGCUUCACCUCGCUGUCCGAGCGGGUGGCACCCAUCCUCAGCGGCUGGCUGGACAAGCUCUCUCCUCAAGGAAACUAUGUGUUCCAGAAGCGAUAUGUGAAGUUUGAUGGGAAGAACUUGAUGUACUAUGGUAGUGAAAAGGAUGCUUAUCCCAAAGGUGUGAUUCCCUUAGCUGCCAUACAAAUGGCCCGCGUAGCCAAAGACAAUAAAUUUGAGGUUGUCACAAGUCACAGGACAUUUGUCUUCAGAGCUGAUAAUGAUGUUCAGAGGAGCACAUGGUGCGGCACGUUGCAGGAGCGGGUCAAAGAACAGCUGGUUUUCGGCCGCUUACGUUUUGGCCCUGGCAGUCACUGCCAAAAGAACGGCUUCCUGGAGCUCAAAGGAACCAAGUCAAAGAUCUACACAGCCAUUAUAAUGGAGCAGAUCUGGUUGUACAAGAAUGAGCAGUGCUUUAAAAAUGGAAUUGGAAUUACUGUAAUUGAGGCCAGAGGAGCUACAAUUCGUGAUGGGAAGGGCAAGAGCUUUGAUCUCAUUACACCUUAUAAAACCUUCAGCUUUACGGCAGAGUCGGAGCGAGAGAAGAGGGACUGGAUAGAGGCCCUGCAGGAGUCUAUAGCGGAAACACUGUCUGAUUAUGAGGUGGCAGAGAAGAUCUGGUCCAACAGGUCCAACAAGAUCUGCGCAGACUGCAAAGCCAUCAAUCCAGACUGGGCAUCCAUCAAUCUCUGUGUGGUCAUCUGCAAGAACUGUGCAGGCCAGCAUCGAGGUCUCGGCACAAUGGUGUCGAAAGUGCAGAGUCUGAAACUAGACACCAGCGUGUGGAGCAAUGAGAUCGUCCAGCUCUUCAUAAUGCUUGGCAAUGAUAGAGCCAAUGAAUUUUGGGCGGCCAGACUUCCUGUGACUGAGGAGCUGGACUGUGACGCCUCCCCAGAGCAGCGGAAAGAGUUUAUCACCCACAAAUACAGAGAAGGCAGAUAUCGGCACCCUCAACCCAGUUUUAGCACUCAAGAGGACCUUCUUAAGGUAAUGGAUAAGCCAUUUACAUCCACAGGGGACAGAUCAUGCAAACCAAUGAUAACUUGUUUAUCAUUUAGUUUGAUUGUUUUUGUGUGUGUGUGUGUGUGUGUGUGUGUGUGUGUGUUUAAAUACCUGUUUGAUUUUAUUUAUUCAGCAGAUUUCCAAAAGUACUGGUGUUCGGUGGAGAAGUCUAUUCUCUUCUAUGAGUCUGACAGAUGUCAUGAGCCCAGUAUGAAGAUCGAUGUGAAAGACAUCAUCUGUUUAGGGGUUAGCCGGCCAGACUCCAGCAACAGCAGCGGCUUUAUUGACAAGUGGGAGCCAUUGCAUAACAGAACACAACCCGAUUUAGAGACAUCUCACCUCGGUUUUGAUCUCUGGCAGGCCACCACACCUCUCAGCUGUCACUGCCUGCUGGCGCGAGAGUUCGAGCGAGUGGGCGUCCUGCGCUACAAGGCCAUGCUAGACCCACAGCAGUGGAAAGAAGGCUUCUUUGUUCUGCAGAAGUCCAACCUGUUCAUAUGCCCUGGAAAUGAUGGAGCCGCAGAGGAUAUUAUAAACCUGAAACGCCUACAGGAGCUCAGUGAGUCUGUUAGCUCAAUCACUAAGAAGGACAUCCUGGUUCUUGUUGAGAAAGGAAGGACUCUGCAUCUGCAGGGCACGGGCAGGACUGACUUCUCCCUGUGGUACGCAGACAUUCAGAAGGCAGCAGGAGGGAAAGGGAACACCCUGAAAGACCAGCAGCUCAGCAGAAAUGACAUCCCCAUCAUCGUUGACAGCUGCAUUGCCUUUAUAACUCAGUAUGGUCUAGGCCAUGAGGGGAUAUACAGGAAAAAUGGUGCGAAGUCCAGAAUCAAGCUUUUGAUGGAGGAGUUUCGUAAGGACGCCCGCAAUGUGAAACUCCGCAUUGGAGAUAACUUCAUAGAGGACGUGACGGAUGUACUGAAAAGGUUCUUUCGGGAGAUUGAUGAUCCUAUAUUCAUGGCUGAUCUCCACCCCUUCUGGAGGGAAGCUGCCAAGAUACCUCAAAAGCCACAGCGUUUGGACCGAUACAAAGAGCUGAUUCGAGGGUUACCUCGGGUCAACAGAACGACUUUAGCAGCUCUCAUCAGUCAUCUCUACAGGGUGCAGAAGUGUGCUGAUCUCAAUCAGAUGUGCACUAAGAACCUGUCCCUGCUGUUCGCUCCCAGCCUGUUUCAGACUGAUGGGAAAGGGGAACAUGAGGUCAAAAUCAUAGAAGACCUCAUCGAUAACUACCUGUACAUAUUUGAUGAUUUGAUGUCAACAUUUAUUAUGCAAACCUCUGGUGUGGCUCUCCCACAGGUGUCUCCCACAAUGUGUGCUGAGGAGCUGACCAAUCAGGUGCUGUAUAUGAGAAAUAUUCCUGCGGGGGAAAAAGACGUGUGGAUGACCUUUGAGGCCAUUGAGGAAGGAGAGCUUGAGCGACCUCUUCACCCCAAAGAGAUGGUUCUGGAACAAGCUCUACAGUGGUGUAAGAUGGCUGAUCCCAGCUCAGCGUAUCUGGUGGUGAAGAAGGUGCCUAGAGGAGAAGCUAUUGACAUUUUCACAGGUGAAUUGCUGAAGUGUCGGGAAGAGCCGCCCAAGCUCUUGCAAGGAAACAAAUUCCAGGAGCACUCAUUUCAAAUUAAAGACCACAGACUGCUCCUGAUGAAGGACAAAAAAAGCAACAAACCUGAGAAAGAGUGGCAACUGAAAACCUUGAAGAUUUACAUGGGGAUCAGAAAGAAGUUAAAACCACCAACAAAAUGGGGAUUAACAGUGAUGCUGGAUAAACAGCAAUUGUACCUCAGCUGUUCCUGUGAGACUGAAUUAUGGGAUUGGAUGACUAAUUUACUAAAAGCACAGAAUGAUGAUUUGCGUCCACCUGUGAUGAGACGGCACUCUUCCUCUGACAUUUCCAAGCAGAAGUUUGGCACCAUGCCUCUAGUGCCCAUCAGAGGAGAGGAGAGCAAUACCAACACCACCAUGCUCUCCGCCAAUCAGACUCUGAGAAAGCUCCACACGAGAAGGGCUCUCUCAAUGUUCUUUGUAAGAGUACGCUUUACAAAAGAGCCUAUACUUAAUGGAGGAAUUCCCUUUGACUUCCUCGGUCCUUCCCCCCAUUCCUGUUGGGAACCAGGGCUUCCUGAUAUGACAGGAUGCAUUUGGAGGAAGAAAGCUUCUACUGCAUUGUUCUGCAACUGUAGCCUUGAGGGAGGGCAGGGCAGGGAGCUCGCUUCACCUCUUGUGUUUUGGGAAAAUGCCGCAGCUUCUGGUGUGUCCCAACCCAAAAGCUUGCACAAGCAAAUUGUCUGCGGGCUUCAUGCUUUUGUCCUCAAUGUAUUUGGCAAUUAUCUUGAUGGUGUCUCUCUGAUACUGAGACAAAAGUUUCAACUCAGAAAAGGAAGUAAUUUGUUUUGA
ensembl:lncRNA